rnacentral:rRNA from 1 species
CGGGACGGGUGAGUAACGCGUGGGUAACCUGCCUCAUACAGGGGGAUAACAGUUAGAGAUGACUGCUAAUACCGCAUAAGACCACGGUACCGCAUGGUACAGUGGUAAAAACUCCGGUGGUAUGAGAUGGACCCGCGUCUGAUUAGGUAGUUGGUGAGGUAACGGCCCACCAAGCCGACGAUCAGUAGCCGACCUGAGAGGGUGACCGGCCACAUUGGGACUGAGACACGGCCCAG